CUCGUAGGCGGUCUUGCAAGUUGGAUGUGAAAACCGAAGGCUCAACCUUCGGCCUGCAUCCAAAACUGCAAGUCUAGAGUACUGGAGAGGAUGGCGGAAUUCCUGGUGUAGCGGUGAAAUGCGUAGAUAUCAGGAGGAACACCGGUGGCGAAGGCGGUCAUCUGGACAGAUACUGACGCUGAGGAGCGAAGGCUAGGGUAGCAAACA
rnacentral:rRNA from 1 species